AUUGAAUCUUCUGCGAGGGCAUUUUGGCUAUCUUGUCGGUUUUUAAGAUCAACUGAUACUGAAUAACAUUACAAAUCAAUUUGCCGCCUAAAGUUUUAUUAUUACAGAAUCGAAACCGAAUAAAAAACGCAUCGAUUCUUAAUGAUAUCAAAGACUGGCUUGCAAGAUGGCGAUCGAUGAACAGAGCAUCGAGCGAGCGCGUUACAACUUACGACCUUCACUCGAUAAUGGCGUCGGCGCGAGAUAUUAUUUAUCUGUGGAAGUUCUGUAUACUUCUUCCCAAUAAAUAAAGCGGUUUCCUUAUAAUGAAAAAUUAUUUUAUUUUUUACAAAAUCACUACUAUAUUAAUUCAUUAACUGUUAUAGUUCUAGUAAAUAAAAUAGUUUAAUAUUU